rnacentral:rRNA from 1 species
CUACGUGCCAGCAGCCGCGGUAAUACGGAAGGUCCAGGCGUUAUCCGGAUUUAUUGGGUUUAAAGGGAGCGUAGGCCGUGGAUUAAGCGUGUUGUGAAAUGUAGACGCUCAACGUCUGAAUUGCAGCGCGAACUGGUUCACUUGAGUAUGCACAACGUAGGCGGAAUUCGUCGUGUAGCGGUGAAAUGCUUAGAUAUGACGAAGAACUCCGAUUGCGAAGGCAGCUUACGGGAGCACAACUGACGCUGAAGCUCGAAGGUGCGGGUAUCAAACAGGAUUAGAUACCCUGGUAGUCCGCACAGUAAACGAUGGAUGCCCGCUGUUGGUGCCUGGUAUCAGCGGCUAAGCGAAAGCAUUAAGCAUCCCACCUGGGGAGUACGCCGGCAACGGUGAAACUCAAAGGAAUUGACGGGGGCCCGCACAAGCGGAGGAACAUGUGGUUUAAUUCGAUGAUACGCGAGGAACCUUACCCGGGCUUGAAUUGCAGAGGAAGGAUUUAGAGAUA